rfam:Tyto alba contig86895, whole genome shotgun sequence.
UUACUGGCCCUACUCAGGGCCACAGCAAAAUAAUUUCAUUUUAAAG